rnacentral:rRNA from 1 species
GGGGAAUCUUCCGCAAUGGGCGAAAGCCUGACGCAGCGACACCGCGUGGGGGAAGAAGGCCUCAGGGUUGUAAACCCCUUUUCUGGGGGAAGAGAUAGGACGGUACCUCAGGAAUAAGCAUCGGCUAACUACGUGCCAGCAGCCGCGGUAAUACGUAGGAUGCAAGCGUUGUCCGGAUUUACUGGGCGUAAAGGGUGUGUAGGCGGCAUGGUAAGUCUCAUGUGAAAUCUCCCGGCUCAACUGGGAGGGGUCAUGGGAUACUGCCAAGCUGGAGGGCAGCAGAGGAAAGCGGAAUUCCGGGAGUAGUGGUGGAAUGCGUAGAUACCCGGAGGAACACCAGAGGCGAAGGCGGCUUUCUGGGCUGUACCUGACGCUGAGACACGAAAGCGUGGGGAGCAAACCGGAUUAGAUACCCGGGUAGUCCACGCCCUAAACGAUGGAUACUAGAUAUAGGGGGUAUCGACCCCUCCUGUGUCGGAGUUAACGCGAUAAGUAUCCCGCCUGGGGAGUACGGCCGCAAAGGCUAAAACUCAAAGGAAUUGACCGGUCCCCGCACAAAGCGGCGGAGCGUGUGGUUUAAUUCGAUGAUAAGCGAAGAACCUUACCUGGGCUUGACAUGCAUUUGCCAGCCCGUGAAAACGGGUCUUCUUUCGAGACAGAUGCACAGAUGUUGCAUGGCUGUCGUCAGCUCGUG